rnacentral:lncRNA from 1 species
AAGGUGAACCAGAUUGUUCCUACUACAUCAGGACUGGUCUCUGUAGGUUUGGAUCAACUUGCCGAUUUAACCAUCCUCCUAAUAGGAAACUGGUAAGGCACUGUAGUCCACUUAUUUCAUGUAGCAUAUGUCCCUCUAUGACGAAACCUUAUGUAUUUGUUCUCUUGGUAAGGCACUGUAGUCCACUUAUUUCAUAUAGCAUAUGUCCUUAUACGACGAAACCUUAUGUAUUUGUUCUCUGUAGUAUAUGACGUUCUUUCCAUUUUAGGAUUUAAAAUGUUUGACAUUAUUCAACUACUACAACAACUUUCACUACUUUUAGGAAUUCAAAUUGUUAAACUAUUCAGAUUUUCCACUGUUAUCUCCCC